GCACAACGUCAAAAUUCAUAUAAAUACUUCAUAGGCAUUGCUCGAAAUUCAACUCGUUUAAAACAUUUUCAAAAUUGUUAGUACUUUCGUAUAGUAUAGGUUAAGCAAUGGCUGCAGUCUCAACCUCCGUAAGGUCCGUAGUUAUAACACUUAUGAUCUAUGCCAUUCUCCUCUCUCCUUUGCUACUAUCGUCAUGUGAUGCAGCUAGAGCCCCUCGAGGUAUAUUUUACGUUCAUUUAUAAACAUAUAUAUAGUACUAAUAGACACUUAUCAAAAUCGAAAGUUUUUGUGACACUAAUAUUGUGAAUCUAGACAAAGGCGGAUAUGACAUAUAGGUGCAUAAUUUCCAUUAACACACAUGUAUUUUUCUGUUUGCGUGUAUGCAGUACUUUUGGGGAGCAGCCGUUUUCCUGUUGCAUGUCUUCACUGUGUGGGGUGUUGCGAACCAACACCCCCAGGUACCUGUUGCACCCGCUGUGGUUGUUGAAGAUCCCCAAUAAAGUAACCAUAUAUGCCUGUGAAGCUCUGAAAUUUAUCUUCUGUACGAGUCAGAAGAAGUCUGAUCAGUAAAUUGGUGCGACUUGGUGUAAUAUGUGCAUGUUAUUCAAUGUUUCUUUAGGUUAUUAGGCCUGUUUCUGUACACUUGUUGGAAAUAUCGCGUUUGUAACGUUUAAUUGAUUAAGAGGAAAGCCUUAUGCUUUAUCUUUUUCUUGUUGGUUUGAUUACAUCUGUUUAACUAAAAUAUGGAAAGAGGGGAAAACUAGAACGGAUAUUUACACAAAUGGUUGGCCAAAUUUAUUAUUUAAUUUUUCAGCCGGUAUACAUAAAUUAUAUAAUAGUUAUAUACAUAUUAUACAUUUAUUAUACAUCUAUUUUAAAUUUAAGCGCUCGGAUAGGCGAAUAUUCAAG
rnacentral:lncRNA from 1 species